AGGCCGGGGCGGGGCAGCGGAUGCGGCGGCGGCGGCUCAGGGCGUUCCCGGCCCGGCGCGGGCGCCGCGCGGCUCAUUCACCGGGCCGUAGCUGGCACGUGCGGUCGCAGGGUCGCUCAAGGCGAGGCUGCUGCCAGAGUCCCCGGCCCUGCCCGAGAUGUGAGAAGAAAAAAAAAAGUUGGUAUUUAUUGCAGUACAUAGAGAACGCCACUAGAUGGAGGUAGGGUUCAAAGAUUGAUGAUCUGAUGCUGGUCUGGUAGAAAAUUGUGAAUUUUUGACAAUCACAACAAUUGGAGCAGCCUCAAGUAGACCCAGACUUUGAAUUUUGAAGAGCUGAAAUUAAAGCUUGUUUUAUGGAUACAGUACCUAGUUGUAUGGAUGCAGAGAUUGUAAUCGAAGGGCUGAAUCUAUUGUUGAAAGACAGCAGGUUUACUAAGGCUGCCUGACUGGGGGAGAAGAUUUGAACACUCUCAGGAGAGUGCUUUAACCACUGAGAUACAGAAUGUUAUGAGGCACCUAAAAGGCAAAGCUGAGCACUGCAAUUCCCUUUGUGGAUCUGGGCCUGAGCUGUUUAGAGAGGAAGGUGUUGACAAAAGGAGAAAAUGCUGGAGUCAAAGACUAUCCAAUGUUGCCAAUGCUUGUGAUUUCAUUACGAGUCUCAUCAUGUUUAGUGUAUGUCUUAAAGCUCUAGCUCCUGGGCUCAUGAGAAUCUACUUUAAACUAAAAGCUAAAAAGUAAGUUUCUAGCUCUCAUGGUUGCAGAGAAAAGCUUGCCAAUGUCACUCAAGUGCACCCCAAAAGGUUCAAAAGCUAGAAGAUAAACAGUGAGAACUCUGGAUGCAUUAUUUUUAAAAAUCACAUGAUUUUUAAUCCAAUCUCUUAUUUUUUGUGCCUGCCUCAUGAUAUUUGAGUGCUCCCAAUAUUGAUAUUUGACAAUACUGGUCACUUGUCAGUUAAAAAGGGGAUCAAAUAUAGAACUAAACUCAGGGAACUGUCCAAAAGUUAGAGAGAAUAUCUGAGAAAAAACACAAAAUGAAAUGUAUGAGACUACAAUGGUGUCCUGACUCCUGUGUUAGGAUGAACUGUACAAGACUUCAGCAUGGAUCAGAUACACUACUAAAGUUCCUUCUGCAUUGCAAAAUGUUCCAACCAAGUCAGACACAACAGCGUUUUGUUUAUCUUGACAUGCUUCAACUUGUAGACAAGUGUGUAUUUGGAUGCAUUUAAACAUUAUUCCUUAACUAAUUUUGAAGGAGUGUGUAAA